GACGAACGCUGGCGGCGUGCUUAACACAUGCAAGUCGAACGGAAAGGCCCUGCUUUUGUGGGGUGCUCGAGUGGCGAACGGGUGAGUAACACGUGAGUAACCUGCCCUUGACUUUGGGAUAACUUCAGGAAACUGGGGCUAAUACCGGAUAGGAGCUCCUGCUGCAUGGUGGGGGUUGGAAAGUUUCGGCGGUUGGGGAUGGACUCGCGGCUUAUCAGCUUGUUGGUGGGGUGGUGGCUUACCAAGGCUUUGACGGGUAGCCGGGCUGAGAGGGUGAGCGGACAAACUGGGACUGAGAUGAGGCCCAGACCCAUACGGGAGGCAGCAGUGGGGAAUAGUGCACAAUGGGCGGAAGCCUGAUGCAGCAACGCCGCGUGCGGGAUGACGGCCUUCGGGUUGUAUUCCGCUUUCGCCUGUGACGAAGCGUGAGUGACGGUAAUGGGUAAAGAAGCACCGGCUAACUACGUG
rnacentral:rRNA from 1 species